rnacentral:tRNA from 1 species
GUCUUUGUGGUAUAGUGGCCAACACGCUCGACGAGUAUUCGAGAUGUCCGUGGUUCGAGUCCCGGAGAAGUCA